rnacentral:lncRNA from 1 species
UCAACUACCAUCUAGCUCCAAGGUCAAUCCCGAACCCAAAUCAAGGCAUACAAAUCUGAGGUUCCAUUCCCCUAACCAUUCUAUCUAGAUCUAUGCAACAUUGCUAGAUCAUACCUUUGCCACACCCACAGAGCUUGUUAGCUCAUCGGCCCAGCUACUCUAGCUGAAUGAACUCAUAAACCAGCUGAUCGAGCUGUCACACUCGAACUGAGCUAGGACCGAGCUAUGGCCAGCUGCCAUAUACUGCGUCCAGCUCCCUUAGGUACUUAGUCAUUCAGCCAAC